CUGAAAUGCCAAAGAUGAACAAGAGCAGAACCGACAAGAGGAGAAGAGUCCCCGUGGGUCCAGUUGAUGAAAAGUGAUUACAAAAAAAACUGGUGCCUCAAAAAGAAAAAAUGACUAAACUUGAAUUCGUCUGAUAAAAGGAAUCAAGGCCUUUUUUUUUUUAAUUCUUUUUUAAAAAAAUGUCAUUGGAUGAGAGGAAACUGGAGAGGGAUAAACUCAGCAAUUGUUCUCACAACUGUUUCUGUCAAGUUGGUAAAAAGCCAAACACAAGUUAAAGAGCGUGGGCCGUAGGCUCUCGCCCCAGGUUUAUGAUUACACUCGCAACAAGUAUUUCUGGGGAAGCAGAGUUUGGGAUUAGGUCACUGGCUGAAUUAAAUUGCAGACAGAUUUCACACGGCAGAUUCCUUUUUGAAUGUGCCACAGAUUAAGUGAUUUACACAUCAAUAGACAGAGGAUCAAUAUAUAUUCAUCUUGAAACCUGCAAUGACAGAAUUCACGACCCGCCCUCCCAAUUUAAACGUUUGAUAUUAACACCGAGGACUUCCCGGUACCUUUAAGCAAAGUGUCAAUAUUGUCCUGCCCCCAUGUAAUUUGUGUUAUCUGUGUUCCAUGUGCUGAAAGUAAAUAUUGCUCUGGGGACAAGAGGAGAGGGGAGGCCACAUAUAGGAUGAGGACGAACCAAACAGGCAAACAAACCGAGUCCAAGAAGCCAGAGUAGAGAGAGAGUGUCUGCCUCCAGCUGACAGAGUCACAGGCCGCAGGAUUAUUUAAAAAUGAAACCUCAAUCAAAGAUGUGUGUCUCGGGCAAGGUAUUUUGGGAGGGACCCCAAUCCAGAUGCAGGAAUCUUCUUGAAAAGGAAACAGUAUAUAGGCGGAGGAUUGCUCAGCCACGGAGGAGAUGCCUCAAAUGGCCUCUACAGACCUCCCCCAAUCAGUCCGAUUGGUUCGGGUUACCUAAUGAGGACAUUCUUGCAAAUGACUUCGAUGCUUCCUGCCAGCUCCCCAGACUCAACCGCUAUUCUGGAAGCAUUAAACCAAUCUGUCAAUUUUAAUCCAAUGAACAUCUCGCUGUUGCAUUAUCUUGUUAGUGGUUGGGUUAAUCUGAACACCAGCAAAGAGUUUUUGCAAUCACUACUGCUUGUACCAUAGACUGUAUAUGAAAAGGGACAUAGUCACAGGGUGUCAAGGUGGUGCAGGAACAGGGCCCAGAUGCAGCGUGCUAUACAAAUAAUAUUUUAAUUAAAGUGAAAACAAAACUGUGACCAAAAAACAGACCUACAGUCUCAGGAGGUAAAGACAAGAAAAAGCACUUAGGCACGACAUGGACUGGAACAGCACCGGACAGGCUGCAAACGGGACGAACUGACAAAGGGAAGCACAGAGACUGAAUAGACAAGAGGAGGCCCAGGUGAUGGGAAACAGGCGAGACAAUCACAGGGGGAGGGGACACAGGCAAAGUAAAGACACCAAACACACACGAGGAAAUGGACUUCAGAAUAAAACGGGGAAUAUCAAAUUCAAGAUGAAACAAACACAACGUGGGGUAUUGCGUGGCAUGCUAUUAGACCACUAGAUGCCACUAAAUCCUAGAAAGUUUCCAAGAUCUUGAAGUGACCCGGGAAGUAUUUGAUCCACGAAUAGAGCUGUUCGGAUUCUCUAAGUGCCUAGGAAAGGAGCUUCAACGCUUCCUUUCCUAU